rnacentral:lncRNA from 1 species
GGGGACUUAGAACUGGAGUUUAAACAAAUUCCUCGGAAAAUUAUGGAGCAGCACACAUCUGACACCUGGGAAAAACAAAUUUUCAUAUAUUCAACACAGUUUCAACAGAACAAACUCUCAUUAGGGGGUGAUGAACAGUAUCUUUGAAGAUAUAAAAUGGGGAAUUUGAUUCAUAGUGAUUUAUUCUUGAUUAAAUUCUUCCAAGAUUCACUGGCAUCAGAAGUUGAAACUUAUGUUUCAAUUCCACAUUUAAACUAUUUCAGUCUUGAAUAUCGGAUAUUGACAACUUCUGCAGACAAUUGAAAUCAUACGGAUAGAUCUCAAAUACCAAUCUAAUAAUAUAUGGGUUCAUCUGCAAGGCAAACUCUAUACUUUCUACUACAUACCUUGAUUGGCAAUAUUUGCUCCACAAAUGCAUAUUUCGUUUAUCUUUUAUCAUGUACAAAACACCUUCUUAGGAAGGGAAGAGAACUUCUAAUGAUCUUAGCCGAAAAAACCUCUGAUGGAUCCCAACUGUCAACCAACUCAAAAUCUCUACAGAAACUUGCCCAAACGAUUUUACCAAUGAGUGGAAAAAAAUUCCUAAACACUACAAACAUAGUGCGCUACUGUCUGCCCUGGCAGCCCUGAUUCUUCGUUUUCAGCUCGUUCUCGCGUGCAUGUCCUUCCUCGCUCUAGUACCACUUCCGUAGGUGAUCACGGUUGCAUUUAGCACAUGCAACAAGCCCUUUAAACCCCUAGAUAGCUCUAGUGGACGAGUGUGUUUCCUAAACACUACAAACAUAAAACAAACACCAACAAGCCACUCUUACAGUUUAACAGAAAAAGGUCAUGCAUCUUGCUUUCACACACCAUUUCCGCUCACAAUCCUGGAGGGAAGUUGCUAAUUUGCCCUUCCUCCUUCACAUCUUC